rnacentral:rRNA from 1 species
GACGAACGCUGGCGGCGUGCUUAACACAUGCAAGUCGAACGAUGAAGCCCAGCUUGCUGGGUGGAUUAGUGGCGAACGGGUGAGUAACACGUGGGCAACCUGCCCCAAACUCUGGGAUAACUCCUCGAAAGAGGUGCUAAUACCGGAUACGAACUAGACAGACAUCUGUACUAGUUGGAAAGUUUUUCGGUUUGGGAUGGGCCCGCGGCCUAUCCGCUUGUUGGUGAGGUAACGGCUCACCAAGGCUACGACGGGUAACCGGCCUGAGAGGGCGACCGGUCACACUGGGACUGAGACACGGCCCAGACUCCUACGGGGGGCAGCAGUGGGGGAUAUUGCGCAAUGGGCGAAAGCCUGACGCAGCGACGCCGCGUGAGGGAUGAAGGUCUUCGGAUCGUAAACCUCUUUCAGUAGGGACGAAGCGAAAGUGACGGUACCUAAAGAAGAAGCACCGGCUAACUACGUGCCAGCAGCCGCCGUAA